GCAGGAACCGAGAGGCACGC
rnacentral:misc_RNA from 1 species